GGAUGAAGAACGCAGCGAAAUGCGAUAAGUAGUGUGAAUUGCAGAAUUCAGUGAAUCAUCGAAUCUUUGAACGCACAUUGCGCCCCUUGGUAUUCCAGGGGGCAUGCCUGUUCGAGCGUCAUUUGUACCCUCAAGCUCUGCUUGGUGUUGGGUGAUUGUCCGGCCUUUGCGCCUGGACUCGCCUUAAAGCAAUUGGCAGCCGGUGUUUUGGUAGUAGAGCGCAGCACAUUUUGCGCCCUGUCUCCUCAACGAAGGCGUCCAUGAAGCGCACAUCUCACGUUUGACCUCGGAUCAGGUAGGGAUAUCCGCUGAACUUAAGCAUAUCAAUAAGCGGAGGA
rnacentral:misc_RNA from 1 species